rnacentral:rRNA from 1 species
GUGAACGCUGGCGGUAGGCCUAACCCCUGCCAGUCGAACGGCAGCACCGUAAGAGCUUGCUCUUACGGGUGGCGAGUGGCGGACGGGUGAGGAAUACAUCGGAAUCUACUUUUUCGUGGGGGAUAACGUAGGGAAACUUACGCUAAUACCGCAUACGACCUACGGGUGAAAGCAGGGGAUCUUCGGACCUUGCGCGAUUGAAUGAGCCGAUGUCGGAUUAGCUAGUUGGCGGGGUAAAGGCCCACCAAGGCGACGAUCCGUAGCUGGUCUGAGAGGAUGAUCAGCCACACUGGAACUGAGACACGGUCCAGACUCCUACGGGAGGCAGCAGUGGGGAAUAUUGGACAAUGGGCGCAAGCCUGAUCCAGCCAUACCGCGUGGGUGAAGAAGGCCUUCGGGUUGUAAAGCCCUUUUGUUGGGAAAGAAAAGCAGCAGGUUAAUACCCCGCUGUUCUGACGGUACCCAAAGAAUAAGCACCGGCUAACUUCGUG